CGAACAAGAAAAUUGCGUCAACACGUUUUCGUUCUUUCUCAUCGUGCGGGAACGAUGAUGUUACGUGUAAACAAAGCAUGAGAGGCAAAGAAAGUGUAUGUACGAUAAAAAAAAAAGAAAAUAUAUUAUAAAUCAUUAAAAACGAUCCUUAUAUAUCUUCUCUAAAAUAACUCUUUGAAACUUAACGAAUAAAAGAGAGAACAAAGAUUCUCGAAACAGAGAAAGAGAAAGAGAAAGAACAAACGAUGAAUUCACCAAAUAAAUUGAAUCGUAGUUUCAUUGAAUGUGAUUGAUAAAACUGUAAAGAAAGAUAAAUGAAAAAAAAAAAAAAAGUAGUAUUUUAUAAAAGGGGUUAAAAGCGAAGCACUGAUUAGAAAGAAUGGAAGUAAGGAUGUGGACGUGACGAACCUUCCUUUAGGUGGGAAGCGUGGGCCGAUGUGCGGCAACGAAUCGGGCGUUCUCUCACGACCUGGGCUGGCUCGGCUAAACAGGAACAUGCGUCACAUCACUCUCUACCGGAUACUCGCGGAACUAAUCGAAGUCGUGCAUCGAAAUCGAUCGUGCGUCAGCCAUGAUCGAUCCUCGAGUUACCUCGUCGAACGAGCAAACGGGAAAACAGGGGGAAAGGAAAGGAGAAUAGGCCGCGUUCUAGAUCGUUCGAAAUCUAUUCCAACGUGAUAACCAAGCGUAACCGCCGUACAUAUAUAGCAGCCUAUUCUCGACAAAGUUCGUAAAGUGUACGCUUUGGACGCGGCUCGAGCUUUCGUUUCAUUCAAAUUCAAAGAUACGCUAUAUAUCUGCAUGCUGCCACUACGAAACGAAACAACCGAUUUUUUUUUUAUUUCUCCCCGUUUUACUCGCCUGAACGCACCUUUCUGUCGAUCCCAACUCGUUCCCCUCGUGCGUGGACGCCUGCACUUGACUCGUUAACAGAAAAUCUUUCACGCAGACAGAGAGAAUUAAAAAAAAAAAAAAAAAAAAAAAAUAAAAUAUACAAUUGGAAGAAAGAAGAAGAAGAAGAAAAAAAAAAGAAAAAACAAAAACGUUAAAAAAAAAGUCGAUGAAUCGAGAGUUAGCAUUAGCCGAUGCGAUCAGGCGACACGAAAAAGAUCGACGACCGAUUAAUAUUAAUAUUAUCGUAUAUUUUCGUAUACGAACACAUUUUUGUUAUUAUCGUUCCAUCAUUCGUCGUUUUUUAUCGAUUCGUUUCAUUGAUUACUCGUCUCGUUGAUCGGUGAUCGAGCACCGACCCUCGUUGAUUAGUAUUAUACGACAUUAUACAUAGCCCCCUGUUACGUGA